UGCAGUCGUGCGAUGAUGCCCAGCUUGCUGGGUGGAUUAGUGGCGAACGGGUGAGUAACACGUGAGUAACCUGCCCCUGACUCUGGGAUAAGCGUUGGAAACGACGUCUAAUACUGGAUAUGACUACCGGCCGCAUGGUCUGGUGGUGGAAAGAUUUUUUGGUUGGGGAUGGACUCGCGGCCUAUCAGCUUGUUGGUGAGGUAAUGGCUCACCAAGGCGACGACGGGUAGCCGGCCUGAGAGGGUGACCGGCCACACUGGGACUGAGACACGGCCCAGACUCCUACGGGAGGCAGCAGUGGGGAAUAUUGCACAAUGGGCGAAAGCCUGAUGCAGCAACGCCGCGUGAGGGAUGACGGCCUUCGGGUUGUAAACCUCUUUUAGUAGGGAAGAAGCGACUGAGUUUACUCUGAGUGACGGUACCUGCAGAAAAWGCACCGGCUAACUACGUGCCAGCAGCCGCGGKAAUACGUAGGGUGCAAGCGUUGUCCGGAAUUAUUGGGCGUAAAGAGCUCGUAGGCGGUUUGUCGCGUCUGCUGUGAAAUCCCGAGGCUCAACCUCGGGCUUGCAGUGGGUACGGGCAGACUAGAGUGCGGUAGGGGAGAUUGGAAUUCCUGGUGUAGCGAUGGAAUGCGCAGAUAUCAGGAGGAACACCGA
rnacentral:rRNA from 1 species